AAUCACUCAGUCUCUGUGACUCUGUCCUCUCGUGGUUUUCCUCAUCUCUCCCAAUGCUCAUUCAGUGUCUCCUUUUCUAAGGAUAAACCCUCCCCUCGUCCUGUCUCGGUUGGAGUCCUCCAAAGCUCUGUCCUUGCUCCCCUUCUAUUUUCUCUUUAUACUGCCUCUCUUGGCAAACUAAUUGCCUCUUUUGGAUUCCACUACCACCUGUACGCCGAUGACACCCAGAUAUAUCUCUCCU